rnacentral:rRNA from 1 species
AGCGAACGCUGGCGGCAGGCCUAACACAUGCAAGUCGAACGAAGUCUUCGGACUUAGUGGCGGACGGGUGAGUAACACGUGGGAACGUGCCUUUAGGUUCGGAAUAACUCAGGGAAACUUGCGCUAAUACCGAAUGUGCCCUUCGGGGGAAAGAUUUAUCGCCUUUAGAGCGGCCCGCGUCUGAUUAGCUAGUUGGUGAGGUAAAGGCUCACCAAGGCGACGAUCAGUAGCUGGUCUGAGAGGAUGAUCAGCCACAUUGGGACUGAGACACGGCCCAAACUCCUACGGGAGGCAGCAGUGGGGAAUCUUGCGCAAUGGGCGAAAGCCUGACGCAGCCAUGCUGCGUGAAUGAUGAAGGUCUUAGGAUUGUAAAAUUCUUUCACCGGGGACGAUAAUGACGGUACCCGGAGAAGAAGCCCCGGCUAACUUCGUGCCAGCAGCCGCAGUAACAC